rnacentral:rRNA from 1 species
AUUGAACGCUGGCGGCAGGCCUAUCACAUGCAAGUCGAGCGGAUGAAGGGAGCUUGCUCCUGGAUUCAGCGGCGGACGGGUGAGUAAUGCCUAGGAAUCUGCCUGGUAGUGGGGGAUAACGUCCGGAAACGGGCGCUAAUACCGCAUACGUCCUGAGGGAAAAAGUGGGGGAUCUUCGGACCUCACGCUAUCAGAUGAGCCUAGGUCGGAUUAGCUAGUUGGUGGGGUAAAGGCCUACCAAGGCGACGAUCCGUAACUGGUCUGAGAGGAUGAUCAGUCACACUGGAACUGAGACACGGUCCAGACUCCUACGGGAGGCAGCAGUGGGGAAUAUUGGACAAUGGGCGAAAGCCUGAUCCAGCCAUGCCGCGUGUGUGAAGAAGGUCUUCGGAUUGUAAAGCACUUUAAGUUGGGAGGAAGGGCAGUAAGUUAAUACCUUGCUGUUUUGACGUUACCAACAGAAUAAGCACCGACUAACUUCGUG